rnacentral:rRNA from 1 species
UGAGACACGGUCCAGACUCCUACGGGAGGCAGCAGUAGGGAGUAUUUGGCAAUGGGGGAAACCCUGACCGAGCAACGCCGCGUGUGCGAUGGAGUCCCUCAGGGACGUGAAGCACUGUGGGGGGCCGCCAAACGGGCGGGCAGGAAAUGGCCCGUCCCCGAGGAGCCCCCUAGAAAGCGACUGCUAACCACGUGCCAGCAGCAGCGGUAAUACGUGGGUCGCAAGCGUUAUCCGGAAUCAUUGGGCGUAAAGAGUGAGCAGGCGGUCCGGGAAGUCCGCGGUGAAAUGCGGGGGCUCAACCCCCGCAGGCCGCGGAUACUUCCGGUCUGGGGUGCGGGAGAGGCGGACGGAACUCCGCGUGUAGCGGUGAAAUGCACUGAUACGCGGAAGAACACCGGUGGCGAAGGCGGUCCGCCAGACCGAUACCGACGCUCAGUCACGAAAGCGUGGGGAGCAAAUAGGAUUAGAUACCCUAGUAGUCCACGCCGUAAACGAUGGGGGCCAGGGCGCGGGGUCGACCCGCGUCCGAAGCAAACGCAUUAAGCCCCCCGCCUGGGUACUACGUUCGCAAGAAUAAAACUUAAAGGAAUUGGCGGGUGCCCGCACAAGCAGUGGAGCAUGCGGUUCAAUUCGUGGCUACACGUAGAACCUUACCAGGGUUUGACAUGCCGGCAAAGGCCCCGGAGACGGGGAGAUAGCUAUGCCGGACAAAGGUGGUGCAUGGCUGUCGUCAGCUCGUGUCGUGAGAUGUUAGGUCAAGUCCUCCAACGAGCGCGACCCCCGCCGCCAGUUGCCAUCAUCAAGUUGGGCACUCUGGCGGGACCGCCGGCGGCAAGCCGGAGGAAGGCGGGGAUGACGUCAAGUCAUCAUGCCCCUUAUGCCCUGGGCCACACGCGUGCUACAAUGGCCGGCACAGUGGGAAGCGACGCCGCGAGGCGGAGCGGAUCCCAAAAGCCGGUCCCAGUACGGACCGGGGGCUGCAACCCGCCCCCGCGAAGCUGGAAUUGCUAGUAAUCGCGGAUCAGCCAAGCCGCGGUGAAUGCGUUCUCGGGCAUUGCACACACUGCCCGUCACACCAUGAAAGCCUGCAACGCUCUAAGUCGCCAGCCCGACCCGCGAGGGGGGGCGGCGCCCAAGGCGGGGCCGGUGAUUGGGGUUAAGUCGAAACAAGGUAUCCCUACGAGAACGUGGGGAUG